rnacentral:rRNA from 1 species
AGACGGAGGGUGCAAGCGUUGUUCGGAAUCACUGGGCGUAAAGCGCGUGUAGGCGGCUUGACAAGUCGAAUGUGAAAGCCCGGGGCUCAACCUCGGAAGUGCAUUCGAAACUGUCAGGCUUGAGUACGGGAGAGGGAAGUGGAAUUCCUGGUGUAGAGGUGAAAUUCGUAGAUAUCAGGAGGAACACCGGUGGCGAAGGCGGCUUCCUGGACCGAUACUGACGCUGAGACGCGAAAGCGUGGGGAGC